GCUACGACGUGAUCGUAGAAGCCGCGAAAAUAUGGCCGCGGCAAUAUAAAAGAGUGGUUAGUUGUGUCGAGUACAAUAACUAUGCGUAAUGAUUGUGAUUAUUUUUAUUGGCAUACGAUGAUAAGAUCAAUGUAUCAUCGGGAAAGAUGAGUGAAAGAAAGUUUACUCGUGGCCUAGGUAAGCCGGGCAUGGCCGCUCAAUUACGAGAAACUGUCUCUCAGGUAGUACGCGAGAGCACUGUACAGAAUAAGCCACAUUUAGUAGAACCAAUAGAUUUUGAAAGUUUCGUAUUAAAAAACAAAACUUUAUUACAAAAUGAUCCACAGAGAGAGCUUCUUCUAUAUCCUCAGGAUGAUGUUUCACAAGUGGUAUUACCUAGAAGAUUUCGUACCCUUGUACCAACAGUAUCACAAACUUCAGACAAUGAGGAAGGAGAAGAAAACCUACUUACAAAAGAAUGUUUACAAAGCUACACAUCUAAUUGGAACCUUAUACAUUAUAAAUAUUCAACCUAUAGUGGAACUUAUCUUGAAUUGCCCAAAAUAGCAAAAGCAGAUGAUCUAAAAGAUGAAGUAUAUGAAAUAGAUACAGAAGUAGACCAAGUUGACGAGGAACUAACAAAGAGUAAUGGGAUAACAAAAGAAGGCUAUUUGAUGAAAGGACCAGAAAUUGGUAGUAGUGACCGUAUGUUUGCAAAUAUCGGUUCGAAAUCAUUCAAAAGAAGAUUUUGUCAUCUCAGACAAGAAGUUGAUGGCACAUAUAUUCUUGAGCUUUUUAAAGAUGAAAAAAAGGGAGAAGCCAAAUUAACGAUAGUAAUGGACUUUUGCACCGAGGUUGUCAGAAAUCCAAAACGUGGAAGAUACUGUUUUGAAUUAAGAAUGAGCGGGACUCAUAAAUCGUAUACUUUAGCAGCGGAUAAUGAAACAGAUAUGCAGGAUUGGUUAUUAAAGUUAAGCUCGGUAUUACAGCAUUAUAAACAGCAAGAAGAAAAGCGUGCUGCUUCGUUAGAAAGGGCGUGCAAUACACCUCCUCCCUCUCCGCAACCGAUGCAGGUUUAUGGAACGUUGAAAGGAUUGGAACAAAGUAUGAAUCCACAGUUAAUAAAAUAUUCCAGAGAAACUGAUACCAGUAUAGCAUUGGCGAGACGUGAAAAUCGUAAACGAUUGUUUAAUAUUUACCCUAAUAUUCCGCACAGCAAGCAACAAUCCGGCAAUUCUAGUGAACACAACAUUGAUCCAUAUAAAGAACAAUUUGGACAAAGAAUUUUUGUUAAGUGUGAAAGUCUUAAAUUUAGAUUGCAAGCGCCAAUAGAUGAGAAAGAGUCAUUGUGUCAGGUAGAACCGUAUCAGACAACAUUGAGCCUUUAUGAUGCAAGACACGGUAGAAAACUUACCGAAAACUUCCACUUUGAUAUUAAUCACGAAGUUGUUCAAGGAAUGGCAAAAGAAUUAAGUCCUAUAGGUAUUAUGACUGAAUCUACAGAGGAUGUAAAAUUACCAAACGAUUUGAAAAGUAUACCAUUAGACUGGAUUAAAUACCCAAAACAGGCUAUAUUCAGUAUUAGUAAUCCUCAUCCUGACAUAUUUUUGGUUGUAAGAAUAGAUAAAAUAUUGCAAGGGAACAUAUGUCAAACUUCUGAACCAUAUUUAAGAGCUACAAAAGAUCCACGUUUAGGUUUAAAGGUACAUAAACAAGUUAGAGCAUGCUGCCAAAGAUUGGGAAACUAUAGAAUGCCCUUUGCUUGGGCUGCUAGACCAUUAUUUAGAUUAUAUAGUAAUGAACUGGAUGUUUCAUCAGAUUUUCCAGCAAUUUAUAGACAAGAAGGGAAUAAAAUAAAAGAUGAUGAAUUAUUGAAACUUCUUUCGGAAUACAGAAAGCCUGAGAAACUUAGUAAAUUAACUGUGAUACCUGGUUGGUUAAAAAUAAAAAUUGAGUCAAUUACAGAAUUACCUGAUAGUAUGUGUACCUGGCAUAUAAUUAUAGCAUAUACGUUAUCUACGUCCUUAGCAGCAUUGAAACCAUUUCCAUUACCACCAACAUCUGAACCAACUCUUGAAAUUGCAGAGUUUGAAAGUACUUCAGAGAAAGAUGUUCACCCAUACACCACGUAUAUUAAUCAUCUUUACGUGUAUCCGCAAACUCUUUGCUUUGAUGCUCAAAAAAUAUUCACCAGAGCUAGAAAUAUCGCAUGUAUCGUUGAGCUAAGAGAUGAUGAUAGUGAAAAUGCUGCACCUUUAAGAUGUAUAUACGGAAGACCUGGUUCUCCACUUUUAUGUUUACGAGCAUCCUGUGCAGUUUUACAUCACAACGCUGUUCCUUCGUGGUACGAAGAGAUUAAAAUACGAUUACCGACAAAACUUCACUCCAAGCAUCAUUUACUUUUUUCUUUCUACCAUAUAAGUUGUGAUAUGAAUAAGAAAAAAGAAAAUGGAGUUGAAAGUUGUGUUGGGUAUGCUUGGUCUCCGUUGUUACACAAAGGAAGAUUAAAUGUGGAUAUGGAUAUGAAUGUACAGAUAUUACCAGUGGCAACGCAUUUACCUCCUGGGUAUUUGUCGAUACAACCUCUUGGGCUAGGAAAAGGGAAUGCAGGACCGGAAAUCGUAUGGAUUGAUUCCCAGCGGCCAGUAUUUACAGUAGCAUUUCAGUUAAUUUCAACUGUAUUUACUCGUGAUGUACAUUUACAUAAUUUAUUUGCUCAUAUGGAACGGAUUUUGGAUAUGAAAAUUGGAGCAGUACCAGCAGAUUCAGAAACAUGUAAAAUUUUGAAAGCUGCCCAUGCAGUACAACUAGUUACUAUCAUUACAUUUCUUCCUACCAUACUGAAUCAAUUAUUUGCAUUGUUAACUUAUACCACUAACGAAGAAGUUGGAUUAUAUAUUAUAAGAGUUUUGAUACAUUUCAUAAAUAUGGUGCACGAUGCUGGUAGAAAAGAAACGCUUCAGGCUUACAUUAAGUUUGUUUUUGUACCACCUUCUCAAGGAAAUGGCAGUGUAACUGUUCACGAGCAACUAGGAAAACAUCUUCCUACAUUAUUACAACCAAAUAAUACUGACUUUUUAGUAGUAAACAAGUUUAUGCAUCACUCGAACUUCUUUUUUGAAAUAAUGAUCAAAAGCAUGGCGCAACACUUGCUUUCAACAGGCAGGAUAAAAAUGCAUAGAAAUGAAAGAUUUUCAAAAGAAUAUCAUGAAAAAAUUCGAAACUUAGUGGAAGUUAUUAUGCCUUAUUUAAUGAAUAAGUAUAAAGAAAUGCCUGUUGAAACUCACGAAUUAAACAAAAGUCUUGCCCAGUUUUUAAAGCGAUGUCUUACAUUCAUGGAUCGUGGAUUCGUGUUUCGCCUAAUUAAUUUGUACGUGGAUAACUUUUCACCUGGUGAUCAACGUACACUACACGACUUUAAAUUUACAUUCUUGCAAAUAAUUUGUUCCCAUGAGCAUUAUGUAUCUUUCAACUUACCAAUGAUGCAAUCACGAAUCACUUCCAGAGAAGAUACAGAGAGUGAUCCAGAAUGUGAUGAUUUAAUGAAUGAGUACUGUUUGUCAGAAGACUUUUGCAAACAUCAUUUUUUGGUUGGUCUAUUAAUGCAAGAAGUUAAAACAUCUCUGAAUGAAAUUGUACAAAUUCGAAAAGUAGCUAUAGCCACGUUACGAGAUUUAAUGGCAAAGCAUGAACUGGACGAUAGAUAUCAAAAUAAGGGUCAAUUAAGUAGAAUAGCAUUUAUUUAUAUACCAUGGCUUGGUAUUGUAUUGGAAAAUUUGCAUAGAUUGCAGUCCGUAUACGAUAACGGUAAAACAGAGAUUAAGCAAAAUGGUACUGAUAGAAUAUCAACUAGUAGUUCAUUUCUGGCAAACAAAGAUACUGCUAGUAACAUUACAACAGUUGGAACUCCAAAAUCAGUUCACAGGCUUACUAUACAUUUGGAUACUCAGUCUCCGAUAAGAGCAUCAAUGCAUCUACGAGAUUCUACAUAUUUUGCUGCCAUAGCAGGUCAAGGUUUAGUUAAUGGUUAUUCCUGUACUAGUAUAGAAUCAGAUACUUCAACAAUGUCUGGUGCCUCUCAAUCAAACGUAUCUCAAGAAACUACCAUUAUUCGUGAACCAAUUGAAAACGGUACUAACGAGAAAAAACGACAUUCUCGUUCUUUAAGCGUAACCCAAUCAUCGCCCAGAUGCGACAAAUUACAGUCAUCAGAAGUUAAAGAUAUCUUACUUUGUUUCUUAUUUGUUAUAAAAUACUUGGGUGAUCAUCAAAUUAUUGCUUGGUUGCAACAAUGCAGUGAUUGUGAAAUGUUAAGUUUCUUUACAGUGAUAGAAAUGAGUCUUCAUCAUUUUAAAUAUGUUGGGAAAAGACAAAUAUCUACAAAUAUAGCAAACAGUUCAGGAAAACCACGAACAGCAAAAGCAAUGACGUUACCAGCCAGAAUGGCACCUCCUGAUUUUUCUACUGAUGCACCAGCUACUAGUACUUUGCAACCGCAUAAUACUAUAGUCAGAGAAAAUCUUGUUGAAACCGACGGUGGAAAAGUACAUCAAGCUAUUUUAGAAGCAAAUAUGGCUACAGAAGUUGGUCUUAUUGCAUUAGAUUGCUUAGGAUUAUUUUGUAUUCAUUUUAAGGAUGUACUUUUAGCAACGGAUGGUGAUAAUCCCAUAAUGCAAAAAGUAUUCAGUAUUUAUUUAUCAUUUUUACAAGUUGGCCAAUCUGAAACUUUACUGCGUCAUGUUUUUGCUAGUUUUAGAGCUUUUUUAAAUAAUUACUCUAUUAUUCUUUUUCAAGGAAAUGCUGUACUGUGUGGACGUUUAUGUUAUGAGUUAUUACGUUGUUGUAAUAGUAAAUUAAGUUGUAUAAGACAGGAGUCUUGUGCUUUACUUUAUCUUCUCAUGAGGAGUAAUUUUGAAUUCACAAGUAGGAAAGGAUUGACAAGAGUUCACUUACAAGUGAUAAUAUCCGUUUCUCAAAUGCUUGGAAACGUUAUUGGACUGAAUAACUCAAGAUUCCAGGAAUCGCUUUCAUUAAUAAACAGUUACGCUUCAUCGGAUAAAGUAAUGAAGGGGACUGGUUUUCCAGUUGAAGUUAAAGAUCUUAAUAAAAGGAUUCGUACUGUGUUAAUGGCGACAGCCCAAAUGAGAGAACAUAAUAAUGAUCCUGAAAUGUUAGUAGACUUGCAACAUAGUCUGGCUAAUUCUUACGCUAGUACACCAGAAUUAAGGCAUACGUGGUUGGAAACUAUGGCUAGGAACCAUGCAAGAGAUGGAAAUUUCUCAGAGGCUGCUUGUUGUCAAUUACAUAUCGCAGCAUUAAUGGCCGAAUAUUUAAAAUUAAGAAAUGUUCAUUCAUGGGGAGCAGAAGCUUUUGACAAAAUAUCUGAAAAUAUUUCCAGAGAUGAAUGUAGCCUUAAACUUGAUGCCGGUGAGAUUUGUAUGUUUUGCACAUGCGUACAAGAUAUUCAUUAUAACGAGUAUAUACUUCUUGAACAAUUAGAAGUUUGUGCAGACAUGUUGGAAAAAGCAGAGCGAUUCGAACUUCUAGGACAUUUGUAUAGAUUAAUAGUUCCUAUGUAUGAAGAAAAACGAAAUUACGAAGCUCUAGCAAAUUGUUAUUCACAUUUGGCACAGGCUUGUAAUAAAAUUGUUGAAGUUACAAAGUCUGGAAAACGACUUCUUGGGAGGUUUUAUAGAGUUGCAUUUUUCGGUUCGGCGUAUUUUGAAGAAGAAAAUGGACAAGAGUAUAUUUAUAAAGAGCCAAAAAUUACAUCUUUGUCAGAAAUUUCUGAGCGUUUGCAUCAUUUAUAUUCCGAAAAAUUUGGUGCAGAAAAUGUAAAAAUGAUCAUGGAUUCUGUACCUAUUGACAUAACUGAAUUAGAUCCGAAAAUAUCAUAUAUUCAAGUGACACACGUGACAGCUUAUUUCGAGAAAUUUGAAUUAGAAACACGGCAAACGGAGUUUGAGCAAAAUCACAAUAUAUCAUCUUUUAUGUUUGAAACUCCGUUUACUAAAGAAGGGAAAGCAAGAGGUAGCCCGGAAGAGCAAUGGAAGCGAAGAACAAUUUUAAAAACACAAUAUUCUUUCCCAUACAUUAAAAAACGAAUCUUAGUAAUACAAAAACGUAUAAUGGAACUAAGUCCAAUUGAAGUUGCUUUAGAUGAAAUGCGCCAACGUGUGCAAGAACUAGAAGAUGUGGCCCUUAUAGGUCCAACGGAUGUGAAAAAAUUACAAUUAAGGUUGCAAGGAAGUAUAUGCGUUACCGUGAAUGCGGGACCACUCGCAUAUGCGUCUGCAUUUUUAGAUCCUGCGCUCUCUCCACAAUAUCCGGAUGAUAAAGUUGAAGAAUUAAAAGAUGUAUUUAGAGAAUUUGUUAAAAUAUGUUAUACAGCUCUUCAAAUAAAUAGUAAGUUAAUUACGUCUGAUCAACACGAAUAUCAAGAAGUAUUACGAGAGAACUAUCAAAAACUAUGUCAAAAUUUAUCGUCGUUAUUUGGCGAACCUAUCUGGCCUGACGAACAGGUUGGAAAUUUUAAACGCAACAGCGCUGCUUUAUUUAAUGUUAUUAGCGGUGCUAAUAGUCAUACGAGUACAGCCUAAAACAGAAGUUAUUAAUUAAGCUCAUUCGCAAUUAGCUUUUCUUAUGUAAGUAAACAGUACAAAUUGGGUUGUACAUACAUAUAAAACCCAUUGUUGAUUUGCUUGAGCUCAAAAACAUUUAUGUCACUAAUUAUGGAUUAUUGAAUGUUAUCGUCAUAAUAAUUAUGUCAAUUAAGAAAACUAUAUUGCCAGAAAAGUUAGAGAAAGAAAUAGAAAUAACAUUUAGAUAUUUUAUUUCUACAAAAGAUUUACUGCAUUUUUCCUAACUGCAAGAUUUAUAACUGUCUACAUCAAUACAUAGUUUCUAUGAACAUUAUAGAUACAUUUAAAUGUAGUUAAAUAUAAUAUAUUUUGGUGUUGAGCACCUGAAGGGGCAUUUAUAUGCGCGUAUAAUAUUUUAUAAGAAUUGAAUGAUUUGUAUAUUAGAAUAUGUUAAAUGUGUAGAACUUAAUUUGUAUAUAUUUGUAUAAUUUAUUCUAUGUACUCGCGUAUUAUGCAAAGAAGAUGUAGCCAGCGAUCAUUUUAUAUUUAUGCAAAUAUUACUAUUAACUAAAAACAAAGAGAGAGUAUUUUGUGAUCACACAAUUAUACAAAUUUAACAUUUUAUCAUUUCAUCUUCUUUUUCUUAUCGAUAUUACAAAAGUAAAAUGAAGAAAUACAAAUAAUAUCUGCAUGCUACUGUAUGUCCACAAAAAUUUAUAAUUACAUCUAAUAUUUUUAAUAUUGAUAUAAUCAUAUGUUAUGGUCUAUGUACUUAACAAAAAGAAAAUAAUUGUAACGAGUGUUUGAAAAAUUAUUUUUAUUUCACAUUGGGUGUAUAUCUUCUUUAUAUAAUUUUCUUGUGAUAAAUUCGUAGCAGGGUACAUUACCUAAUUCGCACUCUGUACGAUUUCUUUAAAUUUGUUGAAAUGAAAUAUUAAUUGCGUUAUAGUUUUAAUAUGAAAAAUUCUGCAAAGUUUAUAAUGCAAGAAAUUUAUAUAAUUGUAAUUAGUAUGUAUAAAACAUUGUUUUAAUAAUUGAAUAUUGUUAUUUAUCGCUUAACAUAAAGCUUUGUCUUACAAAAUGUUUUACUAAUCACAUUUGUAUAUUGUAUUAUGUGAUUUAUACUCUCGCAAUUUUCGUAGUACAAAACCGCUUGUGCAAACAAAAAAUAGCUUAUGAUAAUCUAAAAUAUUUGGAUUAUAAAUUUUAGUAUGUAAUAAUUAUAUGCUAACAAUUGUUUUAAUUUAUUCGUUAAGGAAGCUUCGGCAUAUAUGUUGAUUAAUUUGUAAUAUCAUUAUAACUAUUACAUUUAUUUUCAAAAUUGCAAUUGACAAAUUUUUCUAAUGGAUGUACAGUAGUUUAUGUUUAUAAUAUUAUGAAAAAAGGCUGAACAAAAAGUAUACAAUAUCCAAAUUAAGAAUAUUGAAUAGAUAUACAUUAUACUAGUACCUAGCAUUUAGUUGCAAAAUGGAUAAACUACAAAAUAAUGAGAAACAUUUGACUGUCGAAGGUUGUAAAACAUGCGUGUCAUGGCACAUUAUUCACCGUGUAAAUUAACAUCAGUGUCUAAAUAUUUGAAUAGUUAUUUUUCACAAUAGUGAUUAAUUCUAUAAGUAAUAAUGUUAGAAAUAGAAGAAAUUAUGCUUUUAGAAUUAUAGAUUGUUAAUUGGAAAACUGAAUUCUAGGAGAUAAAGUGUAAGUUAAAAAAAAAAUGUAUAAUACAACGGAAUGAUCGAAUUUUAUUAUUCUUUUUAAAUGCAAAUUCAAGAAGUGUUCGUUUGUAAAGUUCUUUAACAAUGAAUGUGAAAAUAAUUAUAAUUAAUUUGAAUGUAUUGCUUGUUUAAGAAAGAAAUUAAGUCAUAGAAACAUUUUAUAAAUUUUACACGUUCAUUAAAGAAAAAGUUAAAAAAAUGUUUUUGUAAUACAGUGCCUCUUUAGUUGCAAAAAUUUGAAUAAAUGAUAGUUAGUAUGUUGUCCAACAAUAUGUUAAAGGCGACAAAUUAAAGAUUGAAAAUAAGUCUGAUUUUAGAAUGUUACUUAAUCGCACAAUACACAUUAUUUGAAUAAUUUGACAUGAGAUUUUGUAAAGAAAAGUGGAACUAAAAGAGAUUAUGUGUGAGUGUGUGUGUGAGCAAAAUUAAAUAAGUUGCAUAGGUAACGUAAAUAUAAUCCUAAUUCUAAUACAUAGAUAAUCUCAAAUACUGUAUUAAAAAAAUAUAAAAUUUGCUUUG